rnacentral:rRNA from 1 species
UGGAUCACGUGGCUAGUGUGUCGAUGAAGAGCGCAGCCAACUGUGUGAAUUAAUGUGAACUGCAUACUGCUUUGAACAUCGACAUCUUGAACGC